GACACAGAAGGAUAGGGAAUCGCACGAAUGGAAAUGUGCGUCCAAGCAGUGAGUGUGAGAAGUAGGCAAAUCCGCUUCUCGCGAAGCAUGAGCUGUGAUGGGGAAGGAAAUUAAGUACGGAAGUUCCUGAUUUCACGCUGUCAAGAAAAGCCUCUAGGAAGAGUAGUACUGCCCGUACCGCAAACCGACACAGGUAGAUGAGGAGAGAAUCCUAAGGUGAGCGAGAGAACUCUCGUUAAGGAACUCGGCAAAAUGACCCCGUAACUUCGGGAGAAGGGGUGCUCUAUUAGGGUGCAAGCCCGAGAGAGCCGCAGUGAAUAGGCCCAGGCGACUGUUUAGCAAAAACACAGGUCUCUGCAAAACCGUAAGGUGACGUAUAGGGGCUGACGCCUGCCCGGUGCUGGAAGGUUAAGAGGAGUGCUUAGCUUCGGCGAAGGUACGAAUUGAAGCCCCAGUAAACGGCGGCCGUAACUAUAACGGUCCUAAGGUAGCGAAAUUCCUUGUCGGGUAAGUUCCGACCCGCACGAAAGGCGCAACGAUCUGGGCACUGUCUCAACGAGAGACUCGGUGAAAUUAUAGUACCUGUGAAGAUGCAGGUUACCCGCGACAGGACGGAAAGACCCCGUGGAGCUUUACUGCAACCUGAUAUGGAAUGUUUGUACCGCUUGUACAGGAUAGGUAGGAGCCGAAGAGACGUGUGCGCUAGCAUACGAGGAGGCAAUGGUGGGAUACUACCCUGGCUGUAUGACCAUUCUAACCCGCCACGCUUAGCGCGUGGGGAGACAGUGUCAGGUGGGCAGUUUGACUGGGGCGGUCGCCUCCUAAAGAGUAACGGAGGCGCCCAAAGGUUCCCUCAGAAUGGAUGGAAAUCAUUCGCAGAGUGUAAAGGCACAAGGGAGCUUGACUGCGAGACUGACAAGUCGAGCAGGGACGAAAGUCGGGCUUAGUGAUCCGGUGGUUCCGCAUGGAAGGGCCAUCGCUCAACGGAUAAAAGCUACCCCGGGGAUAACAGGCUUAUCUCCCCCAAGAGUCCACAUCGACGGGGAGGUUUGGCACCUCGAUGUCGGCUCGUCGCAUCCUGGGGCUGUAGUCGGUCCCAAGGGUUGGGCUGUUCGCCCAUUAAAGCGGCACGCGAGCUGGGUUCAGAA
rnacentral:rRNA from 1 species